CGGGAAAUAGUUCAACUUGGUAGAGCACCUGGUUUGGGACCAGGGGGUUGCAGGUUCAAAUCCUGUUUUCCCGACCA
rnacentral:tRNA from 3 species